rnacentral:rRNA from 1 species
CCUACGGGUGGCAGCAGUGAGGAAUAUUGGUCAAUGGACGAGAGUCUGAACCAGCCAAGUAGCGUGAAGGAUGACUGCCCUAUGGGUUGUAAACUUCUUUUAUAUGGGAAUAAAAUGUUCCACGUGUGGGAUUUUGUAUGUACCAUAUGAAUAAGGAUCGGCUAACUCCGUGCCAGCAGCCGCGGUAAUACGGAGGAUCCGAGCGUUAGCCGGAUUUAUUGGGUUUAAAGGGAGCGUAGGUGGAUUGUUAAGUCAGUUGUGAAAGUUUGCGGCACAACCGUAAAAUUGCAGUUGAAACUGGCAGUCUUGAGUACAGUAGAGGUGGGCGGAAUUCGUGGUGUAGCGGUGAAAUGCUUAGAUAUCACGAAGAACUCCGAUUGCGAAGGCAGUUCACUGGACUGCAACUGACACUGAGGCUCGAAAGUGUGGGUAUCAAACAGGAUUAGAUACCCUUGUAGUC